GACGAACGCUGGCGGCGUGCUUAACACAUGCAAGUCGAGCGGUAAGGCCCUUUCGGGGGUACACGAGCGGCGAACGGGUGAGUAACACGUGGGUGACCUGCCCUCAGCUCUGGGAUAAGCCUGGGAAACCGGGUCUAAUACCGGAUAUGACUCCAUGACGCAUGUUGUGGGGUGGAAAGCCUUGUGCGGCUGAGGAUGGGCCCGCGGCCUAUCAGCUUGUUGGUGGGGUGAUGGCCUACCAAGGCGACGACGGGUAGCCGGCCUGAGAGGGCGACCGGCCACACUGGGACUGAGACACGGCCCAGACUCCUACGGGAGGCAGCAGUGGGGAAUCUUGCGCAAUGGGCGAAAGCCUGACACAGCGACGCCGCGUGAGGGAUGACGGCCU
rnacentral:rRNA from 1 species